ensembl:snRNA U1 U1 spliceosomal RNA
AUACUUACCUGGCAGGGGAGAUAUGAUCAUGAAAGGGGUUGUGGUUUUUAUUUUCAGCAGGAAAGGUUAUCCAUUGCACUCUGAUAUGCUGGCCCUUUGUAGCUUUCCCAAAUGUGGGAACCUCAACUACAUCACUUGUGGGAGUGGGGAGACUGUGUUUCUGCUCUCCCCUA